UUCCUCCAAUGAUGUCAGCACUGGGCUCAGAUUUCUCUGACGAUGACUGUGCCCCCCAUGUCCUUGACAGCAUGGGGACUGAGGAGAAG